rnacentral:lncRNA from 1 species
UCAGCCCCCGGCCCGGCCAGCCGCCCCGUCCGGGAGGUGAGGGGCACCUCUGCCCGGCCGCCCCUACUGGGAAGUGAGGAGCCCCUCUGCCCAGCCAGCCGCUCCAUCCGGGAGGGAGGUGGGGGGGUCAGCCCCCCGCCCGGCCAGCCGCCCCGUCCGGGAGGGAGGUGGGGGGGGUCAGCCCCCCCACCCGGCCAGCCGCCCCGUCCAGGAGGUGAGGGGCGCCUCUGCCCGGCUGCCCCUACUGGGAAGUGAGGAGCCCCUGUGCCCGGCCAGCCACCUCAUCCGGGAGGGAGAUGGGGGGGUCAGCCCCCCGCCCGGCCAGCCGCCCCAUCCGGGAGGGAGGUGGGGGGGGUCAGCCCCCCGCCCAGCCAGCCGCCCCAUCCGGGAGGGAGGUGGGGGGGUCAGCCCCUCGCCCGGCCAGCCACCCCGUCCGGGAGGGAGGUGGGGGGGUCAGCCCCCCGCCCGGCCAGCCGCCCCACCCAGGAGGUGAGGAGCGCCUCUGCCCGGCCGCCCCUACUGGGAAGUAAGGAGCCCCUCUGCCCGGCCACCACCCCGUCUGGGAGGUGUACCCAACAGCUCAUUGAGAACGGGCCAGGAUGACAAUGGCGGUUUUGUGGAAUAGAAAGCGGGGAAAGGCGGGGAAAAGAUUGAGAAAUCGGAUGGUUGCCAUGUCUGUGUGGAAAGAAGUAGACAUGGGAGACUUGUCAUUUUGUUCUGUACUAAGAAAAAUUCUUCUGCCUUGGGAUCCUGUUGAUCUGUGACCUUACCCCCCAACCCUGUGCUCUCUGAAACAUGUGCUGUGUCCACUCAGGGUUAAAUGGAUUAAGGGCAGUGCAAGAUGUGCUUUGUUAAACAGAUGCUUGAAGGCAGCAUGCUCGUUAAGAGUCAUCACCACUCCCUAAUCUCAAGUACCCAGGGACACAAACACUGCGGAAGGCCACAGGGACCUCUGCCUAGGAAAACCAGAGACCUUUGUUCACUUGUUUAUCUGCUGACCUUCCUUCCACUAUUGUCCUAUGACCCUGCCAAAUCCCUCUCUGUGAGAAACACCCAAGAAUGA